GAUGAACGCUGGCGGCGUGCCUAAUACAUGCAAGUCGAGCGAACGGACGAGAAGCUUGCUUCUCUGAUGUUAGCGGCGGACGGGUGAGUAACACGUGGAUAACCUACCUAUAAGACUGGGAUAACUUCGGGAAACCGGAGCUAAUACCGGAUAAUAUUUUGAACCGCAUGGUUCAAAAGUAAAAGACGGUUUUGCUGUCACUUAUAGAUGGAUCCGCGCUGCAUUAGCUAGUUGGUAAGGUAACGGCUUACCAAGGCAACGAUGCAUAGCCGACCUGAGAGGGUGAUCGGCCACACUGGAACUGAGACACGGUCCAGACUCCUACGGGAGGCAGCAGUAGGGAAUCUUCCGCAAUGGGCGAAAGCCUGACGGAGCAACGCCGCGUGAGUGAUGAAGGUCUUCGGAUCGUAAAACUCUGUUAUUAGGGAAGAACAUAUGCGUAAGUAACUGUGCACAUCUUGACGGUACCUAAUCAGAAAGCCACGGCUAACUACGUG
rnacentral:rRNA from 1 species